CCGAAAUGUUUGUGUGUGUCAGAUCAAUCUUUUCACUGACCAGGACAGCUGUACUCACAGGGGGAUCACCAAUCAUCCUGCUAGGAACUGCUUCUGUCCUUCAACAGGCAAUUAACACUUCUGGUCAAGACAACCAUAUUGGUGAGUUCUUGGAGGGCUCAUUUAAAUGCCUACGCAUAUCUCACCAAGCAUACCACCAACCAACCCGGCAGUUCUACUACGGACAUGCAAUCAAGUAGUGCCAGACUUCAUUUCGUUGCCGUUUUCAAGAUCUGAUGCAGGAGUACAAGAAUACACACACACCCCCUGAACAGUUUUUCCGAGAUGUGGAAAUUAUGACUCCCGUCAUCCUGCACUCAUGGUACAAAGGAGUUCCAAGUUAGAGAUCGCAGAGCAAGCUCUGAGCAGGACGAACCAUCAGGGUGGCACCACGCGCUGUCCUGCUGCAACAGGCUUUGGUGCUGGAAGGCACAGAGCUGCCCAGUGUACUGCUGCCCCAGCUAAGGCAGAGCUGCCCCAGCUUCCAACGCUGAAGCCAGCUCGCAGGGGGCCCGUGCAGGGCUAUUUGCAUGGUGUUCCAAUGCACCAUGCAAGCAAUGCCUACAACCGCAACAACUAAGAGGAUGCGCCACAAUCACAGGACAUCAUACAUCCCCAAACUAUCAAGCCACUGUCUGCCACUUUCUGUCUUCAAAAAGAGA